ACUUGUGACACCUCUGUGCAGUCUGUUGAUAUGAUUCGGGUUGCUAAUUUCCAUUCUUGCAUUUGUUUAUAUUUAUGUUGUAUUUGUAUACCUAUUAAAUAUUUUUGAAUUGUUUGUAGAAGUGAACUUAGCUAUACUCUACUUGUAUCUUCAGUUUUUGGACAAACAGCAGGAAGAGGAAGAAAUAGACGAAGAUCUGGAUUACAGAGCACUUGAAAGUGGAUAUGUUGCAGUGACUCCGCUGUCUCUUUCUCCUCAUAUUGAAACUGAUAUUCAAACGGCAGCUUCUGAUUGGAUUUCUGAUGUGCUUCCUAGUGGACAAUAAAUUGAAAGUUUAGUAUGAUUGUGUACAUUUGAGAUUUAUGAUGAUUCUUUCCUCUAUUUUUUUUCUUCCUUAAAGCAAAGAUGGAGCAGAAGCGGUAGUCACACCAAUUCAAUAGUGGAUUUCCACUUGUACUAUUUUUUUUUUAAUUUUUUUUUUUACAUUUUUUUUUUGUUUCCUUCUUCAUUGUUUCAUUUCCUAUGGUCACUUAGUUAUUUCUGAUUUGAAGCAAAUGCUUCUUGUAAUUUUCUUGGGCAUAUUUUAGAAAAAUGCCAUUUCGUCUGUUUGUAAUAUCUAUCUAUUACUAGUAAAAACAUUGGAGCAGCUGUAUUUUCCCGCUUAUUUUUUUGUUGGAAAAUAGUUAAACUUUUGAUU